rnacentral:tRNA from 1 species
GAGGCUGUAGUUUAAUAAGAACGUCGUACUGUAAAUAUGGAGGUAUCUGUCCAUAGAUCAGCCUCU